UAUCUGACUCUCAAAGAGCUUUUCACCUCUGUGAAGAAUGACAUCCAUUAUGGCGAUUAUGAACCUUUUUUUGCGCUGGAAGAUGAUGCUGUUGAAGACAAUGGAUAUGCAGCGAUGGAUAAUUGGGACAUAAAGCUUGGCUUCCAUGGGGGUAAGAUAAAAAAAUGUGUUUCAUUUAUAAUCUCUGAUCAAUGUCGAAUAAUCACAGGUGGAACUACAUCCGGGUUUGAAUCUGAGAUCGUGUACACUGCUCUAAUGGAGGAGACCCAAGUGACCUUGAAGUUGGCGCAUCUGGAUGGUACUCUAGCUGGAAAGUAGGUGAGGGUGAAGGUAGAAGGUCAUGAGAGUAGACCGUUGAUCUGGAAGUCCUAUCAGCCAUGUGAAGGAUGUGAGGUCCUCCUUGUAUGAGUGAGAGAUCUUCUAGUGUACCUAUAUUUCAUAUAUGAUCCCCUUUAUAUGUUGUUGUUUUCCUUUGCAUUUUCGUAAAUCACUUUCCUUUAGUAGUUUUCUGUCUGGAGAAAUAAUAUUUCCUUUCUUUAAUCAGCUCAAUACAGUAAACAUCUCGUGGCAUCUCCAAAUGCUUCAAAGGAUGAAACUUGUUGAAGUAAUGAUGAAAGCAGGGAAUGGGGUAUGGGGAGUGAGAGCCAUAGUCGUGGCCUGGUUCUGAGUACCCAUCGUGGCGCAUUUGGGUCUUGAGUUGCUUGGCUUGAAACUGUUGGAACAAGUACAGACUGGAGUCAAACAGACACCCCGGUCAACUAUUCCCAAAGGGUAAGUCAACCAAGGAGGCCAGGUUAAGCAGGCAGCGAAUUUAGUUAGCAAUCUCCUUAUUACAAACCUACGAAUUUGUACCACACAAGGUAAGGGAGUUGCUGAAUGCAAGUAGGUGUCAGUGGCUUAUUGCUCCAAAGUCAAAAUGGUUACAAGUACAUUGUAGGGGGGAAAUAGGUAGCAUAGAACUCCACCCAUUUGGAUAUGUGAAUAGAUUUAUUCAAGAUUUGGAAUACAUAAAUGAUAGUUUCCAUAAAAGCAAGAAGGUUCCUUCAGAACUGGUGGGUCAAGGAAUUGACACAGGAUACAAAAGUGGAGAACUUGUUAUUGAAAAAGAAUGCACAAAAAGUAUAAGUCCAAUUUAAGUGUAUUGUGGAUGCAUAUGGCUGAAUUGAGGUAUGGCACACACCAAUUCGAGGUACUUUGCCAUGUUGAAACCAUGCAACGUGUCUAACAAGUCACCCAUUCCCCUUGUCAAUAGCAAACUUGUUGUGGAUAGGCUAUGGAGAAGUUUGGUUGGCAAUGACACCGUUCCUGUCAACCACAAAGCUAAACUCUUUUAACUGUUAAAUUAUGCAUUAGGUAAGAGAUGAAGGGUUUAGGCAUUUCCAAGAUCUAAAGCAAUAAAACAAUAUCUUUUAGAACCUUUAUAUCUUGGCUGCAUAUGAAUGAUGCCUAAAAGUCUCUGCCUAACUACAAAUAUAGUUUAUUAUAUAGAAUUUGAAAUUUAAUUAUUUUAUGCCUAUAUCAAAAUUAUUAAGUAAUUCUUUGCUAAUAUAUAAAUUAUUAGUAAUUAUUUUUAGUAAUUCUGCUUUUCAUUUUGCUUCAGGAUUGUAAUAUAUUAGUUUUCUUGAAAUAUUAAUAUUCUAAGUUUAUUUAUAUCCAAGUAAAAACAUACUUUAUAUGUAGCUAUAACAAGCAAUUUGUGCUUGCAAUACCUAGAGUGGGCAGCCCAGCAAUAAAAUGUUUUGUUUUAUAUAGCAAUAUACUCUUUAAAUAUUUUUUAUUAAAAUUUAAUGUUAUUAAUUUAUUUUAAUAGUAUUUAAAAAUAUAAUAAGAAAAUAUUCUAUACAGAUGGUCUAUUUAGAUAUCACUGGAACAUAUGAAAGCCAACAUCAAGUGAUGGUAUAUCAAGAAUAUUACCACUCAAUUGACUAAAUCUGACUUUGCUAUAGUUUUGUGAGUGUGUAGGCAUGAUUAAAGCUUUAAUUGUGAAUAAAAACGAAGUAAACAUCUUUAACAAUAAGAGUAUAUAUAUUAUAUUUUUAUAGGUAGCCUUAGUUUUUUACAAUUUAACUUCUUAUCAAAAUUAUUUGAUCCAUGUAGCAUACAACAAUGCUUGAGUUUCUUAAUAGUAGUGUUAUUCUUAUUUAAUAAUUUAAUUGAUCAAAUGGAAGUAUAUAAUUAUAAAUAUGUAUAUAAUUUAUAAAACAAACAUUAAUCUUAUUGAAUAUCAACCAUUAGAUGGUACUAGAAUCAUACUAGAAAGUGUUUAGGAAAUUUUAUAAAUUAUGACAGGUAGAUGGUAGAAUAUCCUAGAAUAUACAAGCAUAUUCUAGACAUAUUCACUACUACCCACAAAAACAAGAUAAUGUAUACAAUAUUUGAUUAAGCAGUAAUAUGUUUAAACAUUUUUUCUAGCUACUAUUAGUUAAUACUAUGGAAUAUAAGAUUUGAAUUUACAGUCUAUAUAUCAUAUAUAUUUAUAAAAAAAUUUCUUUCUGGGUAUAAAUAAAUAAGUAAAAAUUAUUUUUAGUCAAUAUUCUCUUACUUUUUUGAUAGAAUAUUAAUAUAAAUUUAUUCUUGGAAAACAUAAUUUAGAGAAAAAAGUAAAAAUAGAAUUUCUAAUAUUGUAUUUUUCUAAAUAUAUUCAUAUUUCUAAAAAAUAAUUAAUAAAUAUUUAUUCUUAUUUAUAUAUUCAUCUUAUCAAUUUAACAAGAGAAAACAUAUUUAUAUAAAAUCACAAAUUUUUAUAUUCAUAAUAGUAAAGUGAUAAAAGGCCGAAAGCUUGCGGCUGUCUGAUUGCAAUAAUACUAAAGUGAUAAAGGCCAGAAGCUUGUGGCUGUUUGAUUGCAAGCCCUAGGCCCAAUUUGUAUUGUUUCAGCAAAACUUUUGUGGAUGUUUGAUUGGUCAAUGGAAAGCUGGCUGCAUGCGAUAAUACAAAUAUUUGACAUAUGUCCAUUUGUGUUUUCAGGUGCCAAGCAAGAGGGCAAAUCAAUGGUGAAGGUUAGCAACUAAUUGUGGCAUCUGUGGAGUGGUGGAGCUGGAGCAAGCUUUCAAUGCAGCUAGAACCAUCAGAGAGUUGCUUUAGUCCUUGUUCUUCCACAAGAGAGAACAAGCUUCAAGGCAAGUUCUUCCUUGUGGUUCUCUUGAGUAUCCCAUCAGCAAGGGAGUCCACAAGACAGCACUGUAAUAUCUUAUCCUGAUAAGAGUUUUGCAAGAUGGUUCCACACUUGCAAUAUGUACCAUUAACCAAGACAUUCCUCAAAGCUAUAGCUUACAAACCUGAUUUGAAACUUUGAUGACCUUCCCAUUGAGCUCCUCGCCUUCUUCUCAAGCUACCAAGUCCAAGCAAGACUUGAAAGCAGCAAUUGUAGGUUGUAUUGUCUGCUACACAGCCCAUAAGACAGGAAUUUAACACGUGUUUAGGGUGCACUUGCAAAUGAGAGGUGCUCACUUCCUCCACUGCAGAUCUACCCAUUUAUGUUCAUAGGUGUUUGCAUGACUAUGGCCGCUUACAGACUCUCUUCAUUUCACAUACUGUUUUCAAAGCCCUUACAAGGUUGGAAGUCAUGAAUGGCAAUGUAUUGUUCAUGAAUGGCCAUUGCUUUGUGCAUAUCUAGGAGGCUUUCAAGGUUAAUAGAGCUAGAGCUCACAGAGGUGGGCUCCUCAAUAAGAGAACAAUCAAGCAUUACAAUCUUCACAUGCAAAUUUCUGCAUUUUAGACUUAUUAAGAGGUCCAUUUAGCCUAGUAUUAUUCAAGCCAAAGACAUUUAACUUUGUAUUGCAAAACGCUUUAAUUGAUUGAAAAAAAGGAUGCAUUUUUAUUUAUGAGCCUUUCCCUUUAUAUUUAAACUCACUCUUAUUUAUAAACCUUUUCCCUCUAUAUUUAAAUUCUCAUCUCUCAAGUCGUUCUAUUUAAUUGUUUAUAACCUAGAUAAUUUCAAAGACAAAUGAUCACAUGUCCUUAAGGAGGUAUCUUGCAUUUAGCAUUGAAUUCACACUUUCAACAAUCAAAAUUGUCUAUGGAAUUUCAUUUAAUUACCAAUUUAUGCUUACCAUCAUUUAUGGGCUGCGGUGUUGUGGGGUCCUUGGAGGAGGCAAAAGGUGAGGCAAGUUGUGUAGUGGUGGCCACCAAAAGAGUAGGUUCUUGCGCUUGACAAAGUGAGGGCUUCUAUGGCUAAUGCAUCACUAGCUAAUGCCUUUGCUUCUGGAAUUUAUCAACACUUUGGCAUUUCUCUAGAGCUCAAAGUUAUUUUAGGUGCUAUUUUUGUAAUUUGUCAAUGAACAUCUGUAACUUUUGAUUCGUGCUAGAAAUUCCUUAGAAAGAUUAAAGUGUGGGAAUGAGAGCUCUUGGAAGUGAACAACCCUCAAUAAUGAAAACAAAGAGUGUUGGUAAGGCCAACCACCUGCCAGAUUCUGCAACGUAUAAAUGUGGUGACGAGUGUUUUGUGAGAUUAUAAGGAUUGAAAGCAAGGAUCAAAAGCAUACAUAGUUUGUAGGGCUUGCCUUCACUGACACUUACCGACAUGCCGUGGACUGCAUUUGUAGGGCUUGACUUCACCAAAGUGGGCUUUAAAUUGACUGUUAGCAUUGAAAGAGCCACUUUGUACUCACAAUUUUCCAAUCUGCUGGCUUGGAAACCAAAAUCCAUUGACUCAGAGUCCAUUCCAAGAAGAAGCAUGUGGACCUGAUAAUUAUUCAGGUCUAAUUCUGCUCGGUUUUAUUUUGCUAAUGCUGAAACUAUUCCUGAGCCACAGUCAGUUGAUGAAGCUGCUGACUUUCCUAAGCGGCCUGUGCACAAGCUGAAAAAGUGGACGACCAGAAUGGGAAUAUCCAAUAAUAGUGCGUCCAGAAGUAUCACUUUGAGCUCGCUGCUGAUCCUUACAACAUGGUGGGCAGUAGCAGAUGUUCCAGCGCUCCCACCACCACCACUUAUAAAUCUGCCUCCCCCACCUAUUCCACCCCAGGAUGAUGGCGAUUGGAGGAAAUAUGUCUUCAAGCACAUGCCUUUAUGCCUCUCCAUAAGGACAUGCCUUCAUGUCCUCUCCAUCUGGGACAGAAGAGUAAGUGUAUCAGACUUGUGAAUAGUACACCAUGCUUGCGAUCUCCAGCUAUCAAUCACUAGAGAUUGUUGCAUGUUCUCAGUCAUGGCGGGCAGCAACAGUGGCACCAUUGUGGAGCAAGAGUCUUAUCUGUGUCUACAAAGGAGAAUUCCACACAUGUGAAUUUCAUGUUUAUGCGAGACAAUUGUGAUGUUAUUGUUACAGGCACUGAGUGCUGCUAGAUUGGAAAAUUCAAAACAAGCAAGCCUUAUUCACAAUUGGGAUUGGUCUUGGUGAACAAUAUAUUCAUCUUCUUCAUUGUGCCAAGAGUUCUAGUGAAAGCAAACAUCAUCACUAUCGUUUUCCAAAGCAUGCAGAUGAGCACUAUUUUGUCACUUUUCUUGCAAGGUUGAUGUUUGUCUCAUGAAGCACAAAGAGCAAAGUUUUCAAGCACUUUAAGGAUUUUUGUACUUAGCGCUGGAAAUAUUUACCGACCACCCUUAAACUUGCCACGUGGCCCGGCGCAACGGCAGCCGUCGGAUGUUACCCUCCAAUAGGGCUAGUUCUUUCAGUAGAAGCGGCAUCGUCUUCCGUGGCGACGACUCUCCUUUCCAGGGGCUUGAGCGUUCCAUCAAGGCUGUGGAAGCUGAAAUCGAAGGAAUGGAGAAACAACUGGCUAGCGAGCAAGAUCCGGUAGAGAGGCAGAAGAAGAAGCAGCAGCUGGAGCAGCAGGAGGGGGAGCGGCUGCGGGAGGAGAAGCUCCUCCUACUUAAAUCUAAUAGUAAGCCUUUUCCCGUAUCAUGCUAUGCGGAUCUGAGACAUUUGAUUCACUUGUAGUGCCCCACGGAAUCGGCGGAUCUGGUAUGCAAUUUGUUUCCGCUUGCCCCAAAUUUCCUUCUUCGUCAUUCUCACUGUAUGCCCCAGAAUUGUGCUGAGGCAUUUGUUCGUUUUGGAUCUGGAGUUGGGCGUCCCUGCGUCUUUUGUGUUUUGGUGACGAGAUGUUGUGUCGUGGCUAGCAAUGUCGUUGUGUCAUGUUUGCUAUGGCGUUUCUAUCCCCUUACUUUUUUUUAUCGUCUUUCUUUUGCUGCCUGGACCCUUUAGCAGCCAUUUCGAGUCGUGGCUGGCUAUGUAGAUCUGGUUGAUCUGUAGUUGGCGUCCCUGCGUCUUUUGUGUGUUGCGUUUACUUAUGAUGACGAGAUCGUUGUGCGUGUAAUGGUCUGACAAGCUCUUUUCUUUUGUUACUGCGCAUCUAGCUGGUUUUUUUCUUUUUCACAUCUUAUUUUCCGGCUUUGAGCAGUUUUUUCUCUUUGCAGACGCAACCAGGUAUAACUACGAGCUUCCGACGUCUUUAGAAGCGGGUGACAUGUUCCACUUCUGCCCAGUGGUCUUCCGUAAGGAUUUCUAUUAUGUUCAGCAGGUGUGGAAACCAUUUUACACACAGAUGAGCAAGGUUACCCAAGGGCACGUUAGCGUGGUACACGUCUCCGGCAACCCCGGCAUAGGCAAGUCCCAUUUUCUGGUUUACGUGCUCCUUAAUCUACUGAAGGAAGGGAAGACCGUCCAGGUGGAGCUCGUUAAGGAGAAAACUAUGGAUUAUUAUGCUUUCUAUCCAGACGGGACAUACCAGACUCUUGACGGGUUUAACAGGUCGCUGCAAGGGGAGAUCCUACUGACUGAUCAGAGGUUUGCUGGUCACUAUGGGCGAAUUACGUAUAUCUUUGCAUCUCCCAAUAGAGACAACUGGGUGGGUGCGUGGAAGAACAUAACCUCGAGCCGCUUCCAACAGCUUUUCAUGCCGCCUUGGUCCUUUGAGGAACUAGAAAAUCUUUUCUACCGGUACGCGUAUCUGGAGGAGAACAGGUUCUCAGAUCCUCGAACGGAGUUUCGUGUGAGAAAUCUACUAUUUGGUCCUAUACCCAGGUGGUACUUCUUCCCCCUGGUGAACGGAUAUCAGGAGAUAUUAAAGAAUGUGGAAGGGAUGGUUGGGGAAGGGGUGCUUCAGGUGCAGGACUUGAGAGGUGCUGGUGGCAAGGAAGAAUAUUCAUAUACGGUGUUCACAAUGUGGCCAAGUGCAGAUUUUUUGUCUAUUCAAUCAAUCAGGCCCAUCUCCCAGUGGGUUUCACAAAGCAUUGCUGAGGUGGCUGCUUACAGGAAGCUCAAGGGGUUUGAGACCUUUGUCUUGGAUGCUGAGAGUGACCUGGCAUUGAAAGUCGCUGCUGGGAAUCUGUUUGAACGUUAUGCGCAUGAACGGCUUGCACAGGGGGGGACGUUCAAAGCCGUGGAAGAUGGAUCUGAUGUGGUGUUGCAAACUCGUCGGAUCAAGUAUUUUUCUGGUUUGACAGUGUCGGCAGACCCCGAGUGGAGGAAGGACACAAGUUCCUAUUGGGUGCCUAGGAACCAGAACUUCCCCAUCGUCGACAGUAUAAUGCCGAACCAUAUGAUCCAAGUGUCCUUGGCGAAGUCCAGGAAGCCCAUGGAUCGGGCUGUCUUCUCCAGACUGCGGUCGGAUUUAAACCAGGUAGGUGCAAUAUCUUUAUUAUGUUUGACACUAAACUCCUAACCGAUGCAGGACGCUUAUAUGGUGCUGGUGAAACCUGAGGGUGAUAGAAGAAGUGCCCCGGUUAUUAAAUUUCGAAGUUCAAACGAGCAGAAGAUGCUGUCUGAUGAAGACAAGCAACUGGUCUUAGCUGGUGAUUUGAGGUAUUGCCAGAUCCAGGCAUUAUGCAAGAAGUAUGGAAUUCGUGCAAACCAGCACAAGGAGGUGAUGCUCAAGGAACUCAAGGAACUUGUGGCUCUUGCCAAUGUCCAAGAUGGUGGCAGCCUGCAAGAGGAGCAACUAAAGCUGAUUGUGAAGACUAUUGCAUUGCGGAGUGGCUUCUCGGUGAAUUCAGGUUGGCACUAUCUGACUCUCGAAGAGCUUUUCACCUCUGUGAAGAACGACAUCCAUUAUGGCGAUUAUGAACCUUUUUUUGCGCUAGAAGAUGAUGCUGUUGAAGACAAUGGAUAUGCAACGAUGGAUAAUUGGGACAUAAAGCUUGGCUUCCAUGGGCGUAAGAUAAAAAAAUGUGUUUCAUUUAUAAUCUCUGAUCAAUGUCGAAUAAUCACAGGUGGAACUACAUCCGGGUUUGAAUCUGAGAUCGUGUACACUGCUCUAAUGGAGGAGACCCAAGUGACCUUGAAGUUGGCGCAUCUGGAUGGUACUCUAGCUGGAAAGCAGGUGAGGGUGAAGGUAGAAGGUCACGAGGGUAGACUGUUGAUCUGGAAGUCCUAUCAGCCAUGUGAAGGAUGUGAGGUCCUCCUUGUAUGAGUGAGAGAUCUUCUAGUGUACCCAUAUUUCAUAUAUAGAUACAUGAUCCCC
rnacentral:lncRNA from 1 species